rnacentral:lncRNA from 1 species
UGUUGGCCCCAGAUGACUUUUAAAAUGUAUACAUCAUUGAAAAAGUUCCAAAUUAUCUCCCUUUGGUGGAAAAAUGCCAUUUUUUGGCUUUAAAAAUGAAAGAUCUUUUUUAACUCAUCGGUGACCUAUAUUUUUUAAUAUAAUUUCCAUAUAAGCUGUACUUAAACUAAAUUAUUGUAAAAUUUGAGCGAUUUCUGUAAUAAAUUUCUUUUUUUAUUUCGAUAUUACCUUUAUUUCUCCUAUUACUUCAACAGAGAAAAAAAAACACCUUUACAAAAAUGUAUGCUUAUUUCGAAGGCAGAUUGUGAGCGCAAAUGAACGUUGACCCCACUUUUCUAUUUAAUUUUUAUACGACCGCAAAAUUUGAAAAAAAUUUCGUCGUAUAUUGCUAUCACGUUGGCGUCGUCGUCUGCGUCGUCGUCGUCCGAAUACUUUUAGUUUUCGCACUCUAACUUUAGUAAAAGUGAAUGGAAAUCUAUGAAAUUUUAACACAAGGUUUAUGACCACAAAAGGAAGGUUGGUAUUGAUUUUGGGAGUUUUGGUCCCAACAUUUUAGGAAUUAGGGGCCAAAAAGGGCCCAAAUAAGCAUUUUCUUGGUUUUCGCACUAUAACUUUAGUUUAAGUUAAUAGAAAUCUAUGAAAUUUUGACACAAGGUUUAUGACCACAAAAGAACGGUUGGGAUUGAUUUUGGGAGUUUUGGCUUCAACAGUUUAGGAAUUAGGGGCCAAAAAAGGGCCCAAAUAAGCAUUAUUCUUGGUUUUCGCACAAUAACUUUAGUUUAAGUAAAUAGAAAUCAAUGAAAUUUAAACACAAUGUUAAUGACUACAAAAGGAAGGUUGGUAUUGAUUUUGAGAGUUUAGGUCCCAACAGUUUAGGAAUUAGGGGCCAAAAAGGGACCCAAAUAAGCAUUUUUCUUGGUUUUCGCACCAUAACGUUAGUAUAAGUAAAUAGAAAUCUAUGAUAUUUAAACACAAGGUUUAUGACCAUAAAAGGAAGGUUGGUAUUGAUUUUGGGAGUUUUGGUCCCAACAGAAUAAGGGACCCAAAGGGUCCAAAAUUAAACUUUGUUUGAUUUCAUCAAAAUUGAAUAAUUGGGGUUCUUUGAUAUGCCGAAUCUAACUGUGUAUGUAGAUUCUUAACUUUUGGUCCCUUUUUCAAAUUGGUCUACAUUAAGGUCCAAAGGGUCCAAAUUAAACUUAGUUUGAUUUUGACAAAAAAUGAAUCAGUUAGGUUCUUUGAUAUGCUGAAUCUAAAAAUGUACUUAGAUUCUUGAUUAUUGGCCCAG